GGAUGAAGAGUUCUGUGACUGAGCGGCGGACGGGUGAGUAACGCGUGGGUAACCUGCCUCAUACAGGGGGAUAACAGUUAGAAAUGGCUGCUAAUACCGCAUAAGACCACAGCACCGCAUGGUGUAGGGGUAAAAACUCCGGUGGUAUGAGAUGGACCCGCGUCUGAUUAGCUAGUUGGUGGGGUAACGGCCUACCAAGGCGACGAUCAGUAGCCGACCUGAGAGGGUGACCGGCCACAUUGGGACUGAGACACGGCCCAAACUCCUACGGGAGGCAGCAGUGGGGAAUAUUGCACAAUGGGGGAAACCCUGAUGCAGCGACGCCGCGUGAGCGAAGAAGUAUUUCGGUAUGUAAAGCUCUAUCAGCAGGGAAGAAAAUGACGGUACCUGACUAAGAAGCCCCGGCUAACUACGUGCCAGCAGCCGCGGUAAUACGUAGGGGGCAAGCGUUAUCCGGAUUUACUGGGUGUAAAGGGAGCGUAGACGGCGAGGCAAGUCUGAUGUGAAAACCCGGGGCUCAACCCCGUGACUGCAUUGGAAACUGUUUUGCUUGAGUGCCGGAGAGGUAAGCGGAAUUCCUAGUGUAGCGGUGAAAUGCGUAGAUAUUAGGAGGAACACCAGUGGCGAAGGCGGCUUACUGGACGGGCACUGACGUUGAGGCUCGAAAGCGUGGGGAGC
rnacentral:rRNA from 1 species